GAACGCUGGCGGCGUGCYUAAUACAUGCAAGUCGAGCGGACCGACGGGAGCUUGCUCCCUUAGGUCAGCGGCGGACGGGUGAGUAACACGUGGGUAACCUSCCUGUAAGAYUGGGAUAAYUCCGGGAAACCGGGGYUAAUMCCGGAUGCUUGAUUGAACCSCAUGGUUCAAUCAUAAAAGGUGGCUUUUAGCUACCACUURCAGAUGGACCCGCGGCGCAUUAGCUAGUUGGUGAGGUAACGGCUCACCAAGGCGACGAUGCGUAGCCGACCUGAGAGGGUGAUCGGCCACACUGGGACUGAGACACGGCCCAGACUCCUACGGGAGGCAGCAGUAGGGAAUCUUCCGCAAUGGACGAAAGUCUGACGGAGCAACGCCGCGUGAGUGAUGAAGGUUUUCGGAUCGUAAAACUCUGUUGUUAGGGAAGAACAAGUACCGUUCGAAUAGGGCGG
rnacentral:rRNA from 1 species